rnacentral:rRNA from 1 species
UACAGAGGGUGCAAGCGUUAAUCGGAAUUACUGGGCGUAAAGCGUGCGUAGACGGUUACAUAAGUCGGGUGUGAAAGCCCCGGGCUCAACCUGGGAAUUGCAUUCGAGACUGCGUAGCUAGGGUGCGGAAGAGGGAAGCGGAAUUUCCGGUGUAGCGGUGAAAUGCGUAGAUAUCGGAAGGAACACCAGUGGCGAAAAGCGGCUUCCUGGUCCAGCACCGACGUCAGGCACGAAAGCGUGGGGGAGCAAACAGG